rnacentral:misc_RNA from 1 species
GGCAAACUUCACGCAUCACCAUUAAUCUCUCAUUGGACUGCAAAUUUGGUCCAGGUAAAUGCUCAGUAACCCCCGCGGAGGUUAACCAGUUCAUCACAGUUUCACAAGCAGGCUGAGCCAUUGUGUAGGACACAACCCAAAACAUCCCAAUUGAUCUAUCAUCCAAAUUCAUAUAAUCCAUCAUGCGUUCCCCUUUGUUAACUUGUCUCCACCAUUCAUCAAUUUGCUUUCCUUUUUGUAGCUGCUCGUUAUUCAGGUAUUCUCUUGUUGCUGUAUUUAGUGUCCAAAUGCGCAAGUUCUGACAACUGCUAAUGAAAUCAAGUAGGAUACUUUGAGGAUUAUUGGGAUCAGAGCUUUUCUCCUCUUUAUGGAACGAAAGAAUUUUUCUGGUCGUCUCCACCUUUCUUGAGUCUGUAUUUAGAGCAUUCAUCACUAGUUCAACCCGAAUAAUUUGUGCAAGUAACCACGUAACAUGGUUCGUCCUAAGUAUUUGUUGAUCACCCUCUUGAAGUCGAAAUACUAAUUUGUCCACGAACUCCACAAAAUCAACGCAUCCACUUUUCAUGAGAAAAAAGAAUAUAUCAGAGAAUAUAAGCCACUCCUGCCAGCAAUUGAUUUCUGAAUUCGUCAACUUCAAUAAUUCAACAAUUCUUUCAAUAACUGCCUCGCAAACCAUUUCCGAUGUAAACACAGCACCCGGAGUUGGAGCCUGGGCAUGAACCCUGUGACAGGGAGCCACAAGAAGCACACGUCUCCACCAGUCUGGUGAUGGAGUGUUCCGAAGUGCAUGCUUUAAACAACGCAAAGCUCGCUCCCAAUCCAGGCUUCCUUUUUGAAUGGAAGCUGCAAGAUCCUCUCCAUGCAAUGGUUCCCCAAGCACACUAGAAUAUGUAAUUGGUGAAUAUCUCAUGUUAGCAACUGCUUCACCAGACGAAUUUGCAGAGGCUUGAGGAAGAAGUCGAGCGGUCCCAAAUGUAGGGCAGUGAAGGUGCUGAUCCAACAUUUGCAUAUGCAUAGCCAUCAUAUCUCGCCUCCGAUGGAUCUCCAAAAUAAGAGUGAACAGAGCUUCAUCAUCUGGUAUAUUUUCUAAAAAC